rnacentral:rRNA from 1 species
UUAUUUUUUAAUAAUUAAUUUUUAUAUAAUUUUUAUAUAAUUAAUAUUUUAGUUAUUUAUAGGAAUAAAUAUUAUAAUAUAAUAAUAUUUUAAUAAUGAUAAAAUAAGUAUUUUAUAUAUAUAAAAUAUAGUAACUCGGCAAAUAUUAUUUUCGCCUGUUUAACAAAAACAUGGUCUUUUGUUUAUAUAAAAGAUCUAACCUGCCCUAUGAUUUAUUUAAAUGGCUGCAGUAUUUUGACUGUACAAAGGUAGCAUAAUCAUUUGUCUUUUAAUUGAAGGCUUGUAUGAAUGGUUGGAUGAAAAAUAUACUUUCUUUAUUUUAUAUAAAAAAUUUAAUUUUCUAGUCAAAAAGCUAGGAUUUUUUUAUAGGACGAGAAGACCCUAUAGAACUUUAUUUUCUUUUUUUAUAAACUUUAUAGGUAAAUAUAAGUUUAUAUAUUUUUGUUAAUUUUGUUGGGGUGAUUGAAAAAAUUUUUUAACUUUUUCUAUUUUUUACAUUUAUAUAUGUUUUUUUGAUCCUUUAUUAUGGAAUAAAAGAUUAAGUUACCUUAGGGAUAACAGCGUUAUUUUUUUGGAGAGUUCUUAUCGAUAAAAAAGUUUGCGACCUCGAUGUUGG